UACGGGGGGAGCAAGCGUUGUUCGGAUUUACUGGGCGUAAAGGGCGCGUAGGCGGUCGUGACAAGUCACUUGUGAAAUCUCCGGGCUUAACUCGGAACGGUCAAGUGAUACUGUCGGACUAGAGUACAGAAGGGGCAACUGGAAUUCUCGGUGUAGCGGUGAAAUGCGCAGAUAUCGAGAGGAACACCUGCGGCGAAGGCGGGUUGCUGGGCUGAUACUGACGCUGAGGCGCGAAAGCCAGGGGAGCGAACGGG
rnacentral:rRNA from 1 species